rnacentral:rRNA from 1 species
CCUACGGGAGGCAGCAGUGAGGAAUAUUGGUCAAUGGGCGGAAGCCUGAACCAGCCAAGUCGCGUGAGGGAUUAAGGCCCUGCGGGUCGUAAACCUCUUUUGCCGGGGAGCAGUGGUCCGGACGAGUCCGGGCCGGGAGAGUACCCGGAGAAAAAGCAUCGGCUAACUCCGUGCCAGCAGCCGCGGUCAUACGGAGGAUGCGAGCGUUAUCCGGAUUUAUUGGGUUUAAAGGGUGCGUAGGCGGGCAUUUAAGCCGGCGGUCAAAUGUCGGGGCUCAACCCCGGCCUGCCGUCGGAACUGGGUGCCUUGAGUGGGCGAGAAGUAUGCGGAAUGCGUGGUGUAGCGGUGAAAUGCAUAGAUAUCACGCAGAACCCCGAUUGCGAAGGCAGCAUACCGGCGCCCGACUGACGCUGAGGCACGAAAGUGCGGGUAUCGAACAGGAUUAGAUACCCUGGUAGUC